CCCAGCAACACAGCAAAACUUCGCCGCAGGGCUCACUCCACCCGGUGGCUUCUGGGCGGACGACAACGGGUACGUGGCUGGCACCCCGAUUAUGCGAGAUAAUUUAGCAGAAGGCAUUGUAGGAGUUUGUUUUCUGAGCAUGGGAAUUAGCUUUAUCGCCGGCACGUGGAACAGCAACGCCGGCCCCACACAACUGUGGCCUGCCGUUUUUGUCCUUGCAAUUAACAUUGUCUACAUGACGGGGGAUCGGAUUAAGGAAAUGUUUUCCGGUAUAUAAUCUAGUAAUAGCUGUGGGGACUUCCCGAAUCCGGUGCUUAAGAGAUCCGCUCAGUACUAUAUGAAUGAGUAAUGGCAAAGAAGAAGCUUCGCAGACUUAAUUAUGCACUCAUGGACUCGAUGGUACUUGUAGUGAACCCUGGUAUGUGUAUUGUAUUUGUAACUCCGUGAGAACCCAGCUUCUGGUACUCAUCUUCUUUGUAACUCCUGGUUUGUAUAUUGUAUUUGUAACUGAGUCGAUGGUAAUUAUGCCCUCAUGAGUCAUUACUAACA